AGUGAACGCUGGCGGUAGGCCUAACACAUGCAAGUCGAACGGCAGCACAGUAAGCGCUUGCUCUUACGGGUGGCGAGUGGCGGACGGGUGAGGCAUACAUCGGAAUCUACUUUUUCGUGGGGGAUAACGUAGGGAAACUUAUGCUAAUACCGCAUACGACCUACGGGUGAAAGCAGGGGAUCUUCGGACCUUGCGCGAUUGAAUGAGCCGAUGUCGGAUUAGCUAGUUGGCGGGGUAAAGGCCCACCAAGGCGACGAUCCGUAGCAGGUCUGAGAGGAUGAUCAGCCACACUGGAACUGAGACACGGUCCAGACUCCUACGGGAGGCAGCAGUGGGGAAUAUUGGACAAUGGGCGCAAGCCUGAUCCAACCAUACCGCGUGGGUGAAGAAGGCCUUCGGGUUGUAAAGCCCUGUUGUUGGGAAAGAAAAGCAGCAGGUUAAUACCCCGCUGUUCUGACGGUACCCAAAGAAUAAGCACCGGCUAACUUCGUG
rnacentral:rRNA from 1 species